rnacentral:tRNA from 1 species
GGCUUCAUAGCUCAGUUGGCAGAGCAUCGCACUUGCAUCGCGGAGGUCAUGGGUUCGAUUCCCGUUGAAGCUU